UGGGGAAUAUUGGACAAUGGGCGCAAGCCUGAUCCAGCCAUACCGCGUGGGUGAAGAAGGCCUUCGGGUUGUAAAGCCCUUUUGUUGGGAAAGAAAAGCAGCCGGUUAAUACCCGGUUGUUCUGACGGUACCCAAAGAAUAAGCACCGGCUAACUUCGUGCCAGCAGCUGCGGUAAUACGAAGGGUGCAAGCGUUACUCGGAAUUACUGGGCGUAAAGCGUGCGUAGGUGGUUGGUUAAGUCUGUUGUGAAAGCCCUGGGCUCAACCUGGGAAUUGCAGUGGAUACUGGGCGGCUAGAGUGUGGUGGAGGGUAGUGGAAUUCCUGGUGUAGCAGUGAAAUGCGUAGAGAUCAGGAGGAACAGCCAUGGCGAAGGCAGCGACCUGGACCAACACUGACCCUGAGGCACGAAAGGGUGGGGAGGAAACAGG
rnacentral:rRNA from 1 species